GUCAUAUGCCAAAGCAGCAAGUUUCAUCACCUCAAGUUGCAAAUGACAGUUCGCCCCAUGCUCAUUCUUCAAGUGAUUUGUCGGGGUCAAGUUCUGCUAAAACUAGGCAGGCUGUUACAACUGGUCCUCUCACUGCGUCUCAUAGUGUAGCUUCAGUGAAUAACCCAAAUAAUAUUCCUCAGCAGCAGUUUUCUGCUCAUGGCAGAGAGAACAAUUUGCCUCCUAGACAACCAAUUAUGGCUAGCAGUGGAUUACCUCCGAUGCAUUACCCACAGUCAUCUGUAAACCCAAACCAGGGUGCGGAUAACACCUCGCUGCCUAAACCCGCCUCUAAUGCCCAAGAAAUCUUGCAGACGCAGUAUGCCAGGCAGUUGAGUCGACCUUCAUCACAUUCUGCAGCUUCUUCUCCAGAUGGGAACUCGGGGAAUCCCCUUAUGUCUCAGGGUGGAAAUGUCCGUCAGGUGCAACCACAACUGGGUUUCAGUAAGCAGCAACUGCAUGUUCUUAAAGCCCAAAUACUUGCAUUUAGACGUAUAAAGAAAGGAGAUGGGACAUUACCACGUGAAUUACUCCAAGCUAUAAUUCCGCCACCUCUGGAUGUGCAAAUGCAGCAAACAUUUCCACCUGGUGGUAUAGUAAAUCAGGAGAGAACACCAGGAAAAGGUUCAGAAGA
rnacentral:misc_RNA from 1 species